rfam:Schistosoma mattheei strain Denwood, Zambia genome assembly, scaffold: SMTD_scaffold0017000
ACCCAGCUGACGAGUCCCAAAUAGGACGAAACGCGUGUCCUGCAU